ACUUAGCCCUUCUCAAUCUUCCUGAAAUUGGUAUUCUUUUGCAGAGAUUUUGCCAUUUCUUUUUUCUUCACAGGAUAGAGGAAAAGUGAAAAGCAUGGAGUACAUACAGUCUGCCCAGAAUCUUGAUUCCAUCCAAGCUUUCAACUGAAUGCCCGUCGUAAUGGCAUGGCUCCAGAUCCCAGGACAAACUAAGUAGGCCCAAAACAAAGUAUUCAUGAGCAUCCAAUGAAUUAGUCACUUUGCUUCUCAAAAGCUCUAGCAGCUUGGUCAGCUUUCUCCCCUGAGAGCAAUGGAUGUAGAUUCCCUUCCCAACAACUCUCUGAGUCACCGUGGCUGGCAUCCACCAACUGAUGGCAGAGUGAGGAAGCCCAGAAGAAUGCUAAAGUGAAGGAGAAAACAGACUUC
rnacentral:lncRNA from 1 species